GGUGGCUCAGUAGUAGAGUGCUUGCCUUCCAUGCAAGAGGCUCCAGGUUCAAUUCCUCAGUACCA
rnacentral:tRNA from 1 species